rnacentral:rRNA from 1 species
AUUGAACGCUGGCGGCAGGCCUAACACAUGCAAGUCGAGCGGAGCGGCGGACGGGUGAGUAAUGUAUGGGGAUCUGCCCGAUAGAGGGGGAUAACUACUGGAAACGGUGGCUAAUACCGCAUACUAUCGGCUGACCCCAUAUGGGAUUAGCUAGUAGGUGGGGUAAAGGCCUACCAAGGCGACGAUCCGUAACGGGUCUGAGCGGAUUAUCAGUCACCCUGGAACUGUGACACGGUCCAGAGGCCUACGUGAGGCAGCAGUGGGGAAGAGUGGACAAUGGGCGAAAGCCUGAUCCAGCCAUGCCGCGUGUGUGAAGAAGGCCUUCGGAGUGUAAAGCACUUUUAGUUGGGAGGCGUUACCAACAGAAUAAGCACCGGCUAACUUCGUGCCAGCAGCCGCGGUAAUAC